GAGACCUGCCCAAUGAUAAUAUUAAUGGCCGCGGUAUUUUGACCGUGCGAAGGUAGCAUAAUAAAUAGUCUAUUAAAUGUGGUCUGGAAUGAAUGGUUUGACGGGGAAUAACUUUUUUAGUUUUAUGGAUGAAUUUUAAUUAUUAGUGAAAAUGCUAAUGUGAUUUAGGGGGACGAGAAGACCCUAUAGAGCUUUAUAUAAUACAGAGAUUUGGUGGUAAAAAUUCUCUUUCUAUAUUUUGUUGGGGCGACAAUAAAUGAAAACAUUUAUAUGAUUUUCUUUUAUAAAAGGUUAUUUGAUCCACUAUUAGUGAUUAAUAGACUAAGUUACCUUAGGGAUAACAGCGUAAUUUUAUUUUAGAGUUCUUAUCGACAAUAAAGUUUGCGACCUCGAUGUUGGAUUAAGAGUCUUUUGGGGUGUAGCAGUUCCAAAAAGUAGUCUGUUCGACUAUUAAAAUCUUACAUGA
rnacentral:rRNA from 1 species